UAUAAUGUUUUGACUCUUUGUCUUAUUUAAAAUUUUUUUACGAUUAAUAGUUUUAUUCUUAAUAGAUGAUAAAACAUGAAUAGUAUUUUAUGCGUGACUAUUUUUUUAAAGUUUUUUACAAAGUUUUUAAAUAAGACGAAUGGUCAAACGUUAGAUAUGGGAAAAC
rnacentral:pre_miRNA from 1 species